GGGGGGGCAUACAUGCAGUCGAGCGAAGCGAUUUUGAGGAAGUUUUCGGAUGGAAUCGAAAUUGACUUAGCGGCGGCACGUGUGAGUAACACGUGGGUAAUCUGCCUUAUACAGGGGGAUAACAGUUAGAAAUGACUGCUAAUACCGCAUAAGCGCACGGGGACGCAUGUUUCUGUGUGAAAAACUCCGGUAGUAUAAGAUGAGCCCGCGUCUGAUUAGCUGGUUGGUGGGGUAACGGCCUACCAAGGCGACGAUCAGUAGCCGGCCUGAGAGGGUGAACGGCCACAUUGGGACUGAGACACGGCCCAAACUCCUACGGGAGGCAGCAGUAGGGAAUUUUCGUCAAUGGGCGCAAGCCUGAACGAGCGAUGCCGCGUGAGUGAAGAAGGCCUUCGGGUCGUAAAGCUCUGUUGCGGGGGAAAAAAGGCAGCAUCAGGAAAUGGGUGCUGACUGAUGGUGCCCCGCCAGAAAGUCACGGCUAACUACGUGCCAGCAGCCGCGGUAAUACGUAGGUGGCGAGCGUUAUCCGGAAUGAUUGGGCGUAAAGGGUGCGCAGGCGGUCCUGCAAGUCUGGAGUGAAACGCAUGAGCUCAACUCAUGCAUGGCUUUGGAAACUGGAGGACUGGAGAGCAGGAGAGGGCGGUGGAACUCCAUGUGUAGCGCUAACAUGCGUAGAUAUAUGGAAGAACACCAUUGACAA
rnacentral:rRNA from 1 species